CGAGUGCGAGGGCAUAUAGCCCUCGCUUUUCUGUACCGUAAGGUGGUACAGGAACAAGGACUGGGCAAGACCGGUGCCAGCCGCCGCGGUAAUACCGGCAGUCCAAGUGAUGGCCGAUAUUAUUGGGCUAAAGCGUCCGUAGCCGGCCGGACAAGUCCGUUGGGAAAUCGACGCGCUCAACGCGUCGGCGUCCAGCGGAAACUGUCCGGCUUGGGGCCGGAAGACAUGAGGGGUACGUCCGGGGUAGGAGUGAAAUCCUAUAAUCCUGGACGGACCACCAAUGGGGAAACCACCUCAGGAAGACGGACCCGACGGUGAGGGACGAAAGCUAGGGUCUCGAACCGGAUUAGAUACCCGGGUAGUCCUAGCCGUAAACGAUGCUCGCUAGGUGUGCCGUAGGCUACGAGCCUGCGCUGCGCCCUAGGGAAGCCGAGAAGCGAGCCGCCUGGGAAGUACGUCUGCAAGGAUGAAACUUAAAGGAAUUGGCGGGGGAGCACCACAACCGGAGGAGCCUGCGGUUUAAUUGGACUCAACGCCGGACAUCUCACCGGUCCCGACAGUAGUGAUGACGGUCAGGUUGACGACUUUACUCGACGCUACUGAGAGGAGGUGCAUGGCCGCCGUCAGCUCGUACCGUGAGGCGUCCUGUUAAGUCAGGCAACGAGCGAGACCCACACUUCUAGUUGCCAGCAACACCCCUGUGGUGGUUGGGUACACUAGGAGGACUGCCGCUGCUAAAGCGGAGGAAGGAAUGGGCAACGGUAGGUCAGUAUGCCCCGAAUGGACCGGGCAACACGCGGGCUACAAUGGCUCUGACAGUGGGAUGCAACGCCGAGAGGCGAAGCUAAUCUCCAAACGGAGUCGUAGUUCGGAUUGCGGACUGAAACUCGUCCGCAUGAAGCUGGAUUCGGUAGUAAUCGCGUGUCAUAAGCGCGCGGUGAAUACGUCCCUGCUCCUUGCACACACCGCCCGUCAAAGCACCCGAGUGGGGUCCGGAUGAGGCCAUCAUGCGAUGGUCG
rnacentral:rRNA from 1 species